rnacentral:rRNA from 1 species
CCUGAGUAGCGGCGAGCGAAACGGGAAAAGCCCAAACCAGCAAGCUUGCUUGUUGGGGUUGUAGGACUCCAAAAUGGUAGUUCUUUCAGAUAGUCGAAUGACUUGGAAAAGUCAGUCAAAGAGGGUAAAAACCCCGUAGACGAAAUCUGGAAGACACCUAGGAGGAUCCUGAGUACGGCUGAACACGAGAAAUUCCGUCGGAAUCCGGGAGGACCAUCUCCCAAGUCUAAAUACUCCCUAGUGACCGAUAGUGAACCAGUAC